UACGUAGGUGGCAAGCGUUAUCCGGAAUUAUUGGGCGUAAAGCGCUCGCAGGCGGUUUCUUAAGUCUGAUGUGAAAGCCCACGGCUCAACCGUGGAGGGUCAUUGGAAACUGGGAGACUUGAGUGCAGAAGAGGAGAGUGGAAUUCCACGUGUAACGGUGAAAUGCGUAGAGAUGUGGAGGAACACCAGUGGCGAAGGCGACUCUCUGGUCUGUAACUGACGCUGAGGAGCGAAAGCGUGGGGAGCAAACAGG
rnacentral:rRNA from 1 species